CGUGGUGCAGGCGGGGCUGGGCUCGGCCCCUCCCCCUCUGGAGGGGGCGUGGCUGCAGCGCCGGCAGCUGGCACUGGGAGCACUGGGAGCGGAGCCCCGCCCCCUAGCACAGGCCACGCCCCCUCUGCGGGGGCUGGCACGGGAGAUGGGCGUGGCACAGGGCUCGCUGCUGUCCCAGGCGGCCAUCUUGCAUCAGCAGCUCCGCCAGGGGGCGCUGCACCUGCGCCAGGGGGCGGGGCCUGCCCUGGGGGCAGAGCCAGAGCCGCUGGCCCCGCCCCCCCCUCACCGGGGACGUGGCUGAGCUGCUGCCUCGGCUGCGAUUGGUCAGAGAAGGCUGCGAGCAGCGAAUCAGGGACUGGCCCCGCCUCCAGGAGCUCGUCAGCCAAUGGUGGGCCCAGCCGGCUCAUUGGGUCCUGGCCACGCCCCCUGGCUGCACCCCCUUCUCCCAUUGGCUGCAGCGCUGGAGAGCUGCCGCACACGCCCUGCAGGCCACGUCCACCCCCAAGGAGG